rnacentral:rRNA from 1 species
GAUCAUGGCUCAGGAUGAACGCUGGCGGCGUGCUUAACACAUGCAAGUCGAACGGGAAAUCUUUAUUGAAGCUUCGGCAGAUAUAGAUUGUUUCUAGUGGCGGACGGGUGAGUAACGCGUGGGUAACCUGCCUUAUACAGGGGGAUAACAGUCAGAAAUGACUGCUAAUACCGCAUAAGCGCACAGAGCUGCAUGGCUCGGUGUGAAAAACUCCGGUGGUAUAAGAUGGACCCG